AUUGAACGCUGGCGGCGGGCCUAACACAUGCAAGUCGAGCGGAGCGGGGACGGGUGAGUAACACGUGGGUAACCUCCCAUCAGAGGGGAUAACACUUGGAAACAGGUGCUAAACCGAUACUGAUGGAUGGACCCGGGGUGCAUUAGCUAGUUGGGGAGGUAACGGCUCACCAAGGCCACGAUGCAUAGCCGACCUGAGAGGGUGAUCGGCCACACUGGGACUGAGACACGGCCCAGACUCCUACGGGAGGCAGCAGUAGGGAAUCUUCGACAAUGGACGAAAGUCUGACCGAGCAACGCCGCGUGAGUGAAGAAGGUUUUCGGAUCGUAAAACUCUGUUGUUAGAGAAGCGGUAUCUAACCAGAAAGCCACGGCUAACUACGUGCCAGCAGCCGCGGUAAUUC
rnacentral:rRNA from 1 species